rnacentral:rRNA from 1 species
UACGUAGGGAGCAAGCGUUGUCCGGAAUCAUUGGGCGUAAAGCGCGCGUAGGUGGCUUCGUAAGUCCGUUGUGAAAGUCAAAGGCUCAACCUUUGAAAGCCGAUGGAUACUGCGGAGCUAGAGUACGGAAGAGGCGAGUGGAAUUCCCAGUGUAGCGGUGAAAUGCGUAGAUAUGCGGAGGAACACCGAUGGCGAAGGCAAUCCCCUGGGCCUGUACUGACGCUCAUGCACGAAAGCGUGGGGAGCAAACAGG